UGCAUUAGCUAGUUGGUAAGGUAACGGGCUUACCAAGGCGAUGAUGCAUAGCCCGAGUUGAGAGACUGAUCGGCCACAUUGGGGACUGAGACACGGGCCCAAACUCCUACGGGAGGCAGCAGUAGGGAAUCUUCCACAAUGGACGAAAGUCUGAUGGAGCAAACGCCGCGUGAGUGAAGAAGGUUUUCGGAUCGUAAAGCUCUGUUGUUGGUGAAGAAGGAUAGAGGUAGUAACUGGCCCUUUAUUUGACGGUAAUCAACCAGAAAGUCACGGGCUAACUACGUGCCAGCAGCCGCGGUAAAAU
rnacentral:rRNA from 1 species